rnacentral:tRNA from 1 species
UUGUCUUUGUAGCUUAAAAAAAGUGUUAGAUUCUUACUCUAAAGUUAUCAAAUGAUGAAAGACAAA